UUCCUGGAGGUGCGUCCCAUGACAAGACUCAGGACAAAGCCCCUUCCUGAGCACGUGGAAGUCAGCACGCAUGACACCUUUCCAGGACAGAGCGGUGGGAGAAAGCCCAGGCUCUGAGCAUCUUUGACAAGUCACACCACGCCUUUUGGUUGGCAGUGAUGGCAACGUCCUACAAAGCAGCUCCUGAGGUCUUUUUAUAACUUAAUAGCAAUGCUGUGUUUAGCACGUUACUUACCCAUCCAGCAUUAGGUCCUGCUCAACAGAGGAGGAGGGACAAUAGCUACUGAAUGGAUGUAUUAUUUAGGAGGACUUAACUCCCCAGCUUUGCAAAGUGGACUACAAAACUUGAUCCUUAAAUACAUCAGAUAAGCCCAGGAUGUCUCUCAACGUGUCUGCAAGACCACAGUGCCAGAUACAAGCAGGUAACUCCUUGGUGUACAUAAUUAGUUGCUGGAGGAUAAAGUAGCCACAUGCAGUUCCAGCCAUCAGGAUAAGUCUCAAAGGUCUUGCAGAGCGUUCAGCUCAGAGGUCAGUGCCACUGUUGCCUGGAGCCUCCCAUCCUUCGAUAAUCCUGCCCAGCGGGGGCUGCUGUCUGUGUCCCAGUGUCACUGGACGGUGUGCUCCAUGUUCCACGAUAGCAGCCAGGGCUCACAGUGAGACCUAUGCAGUCGCACUGCAGAGUCCAUCCCGGGGCAAGGGACUGCGAGGACAGAGGGUUCUUCACCUCAAAGGCACAGAGCUUAAACAACGGGGACCAGAAGAGUGACAUGAAGGCACAUGACUGUUGUUUUCAAUGGACAUGGGGAUGUCUGCCCCAAGUGCCCAAGACUUAAACUGGAUAUAAAAUAAGGUACAGGUUGGGGUGGGCAGAGGCAUAGAGAAAUCCGAGGUAUUCCACAGCUUAGCGCCAUCACCCACUUUGAAGUCCUGCUGGCU